rnacentral:rRNA from 1 species
UACGAAGGGGGCUAGCGUUGCUCGGAAUCACUGGGCGUAAAGCGCACGUAGGCGGAUUGUUAAGUCAGGGGUGAAAUCCUGGAGCUCAACUCCAGAACUGCCUUUGAUACUGGCGAUCUCGAGUCCGGGAGAGGUGAGUGGAACUGCGAGUGUAGAGGUGAAAUUCGUAGAUAUCGGGAGGAACACCAGUGGCGAAGGCGGCGACCUGGGCCAAUACUGACGCUGAGGUGCGAAAGCGUGGGGAGCAAACAGG